rnacentral:lncRNA from 1 species
ACGAUGGUGGUUCAAGGAAAAGGAGUGGUGGAGGAGAGGAGGAAAAAUAAUACAAAUGGUGGUUGAUGGCUAAAAAAAAGAAAAAAAUGGGAAAAUACGGAGGAGCAAAAGAGUGGGUGGUAAAAAUGAAUAGGAAAAUAAAAGAUGAACAAAAUGUUGUCAUUCAUCUUGUCCAGGUUCAAUGUAUGUCACACAAGGUAUGGGUGGAAAAAUAGGAAUGUUGAGGGGACAAAGGAGCAAAAGGGGUAUCAUGGGAGUGAAAAAGGGGCUAUUG